UCUUCUACUGCACUCAUCUUGACUUCUGAGGGGCUGAGUAGAACCAGCUCGAUGUCUGAGAAUGAUAAACCAUCUGUGUUGUCACCUGAAGAAACCACCACUUACUCGCCUUUAGACCUGAAGCAGAAACUGUCAGGAGGAACCAAGUAAUGGAUUUCCAUUCUAAAUAGUGAACUGGAGGAGAGCCAUUUGCUAAAAUAAUAGAAUACUGGAAUCCUUUGCUCAAAGAUGCCAUCCAUGGCUUUGUAUCAAGAAAAGAAUCAACUGGACCAAGGAUCCAUUUUAUACGGGCUUCCCUGUCAAAUAGUUUAUGAACCUCCAGUGCCCACUCCAAGCUACUGUUUCGCCUGGUAACUCGCCGUGGAGCCCAGCCUGGCCUCAAACUCAUCACAGUCCUCUUGCUUCAGCCUGAGACCUGGGACACAGAUGUGUUUGUCCCAGCAUGCCUGGCUUCUGCAGCUGUUAUUCUAUUUGUUUUUCUUCACAACAAAUGUCACUUACAAAUCACCAUAAUCAUAAAAGUAAUAAAGGCUAAUUUUUAAAACAAAGGAAAAUGUAAGAUUUAGGAGGCUCCCUUACAUAUUUUGCAUUUCUUUCUUAACUUUGCCUUCGCAUAUAAAUAACAUAGAUCACGUGUCACAAGUCGAUAAUCGUAUUUUAUAGCCUGUUUGUUUUUAUGUGACCCCAUUAUAAACAUUCUUUCAUGCCAUUAAGAAAAUCCAAGUAUCUUCUGGCAGUAACAAGAUUCCAUCAUGAA